rnacentral:rRNA from 1 species
UGGGGAAUAUUGCACAAUGGGCGAAAGCCUGAUGCAGCAACGCCGCGUGAGGGAUGACGGCCUUCGGGUUGUAAACCUCUUUUAGUAGGGAAGAAGCGAAAGUGACGGUACCUGCAGAAAAAGCACCGGCUAACUACGUGCCAGCAGCCGCGGUAAUACGUAGGGUGCAAGCGUUGUCCGGAAUUAUGGGGCGUAAAGAGCUCGUAGGCGGUUUGUCGCGUCUGCUGUGAAAUCCCGAGGCUCAACCUCGGGUCUGCAGUGGGUACGGGCAGACUAGAGUGUGGUAGGGGAGAUUGGAAUUCCUGGUGUAGCGGUGGAAUGCGCAGAUAUCAGGAGGAACACCGAUGGCGAAGGCAGAUCUCUGGGCCAUUACUGACGCUGAGGAGCGAAAGCAUGGGGAGCGAACA